AUUUCAAGCAUCUUAGGUUCCUCAACAUGUCAUACUCUUACAUAAAAACCCUACCAGAAUCAAUAAGUGGUCUCCAACACCUGCAAACAUUGAAACUAAAUUAUUGUGAAGAGAUUUGUAAGUUGCCCAAACGCUUGAAGCAUAUGAGAAAUCUCACAUGCCUAGACAUCAAAGGGUGUGACUCCCUGACUUCUAUGCCUGCUAAUAUGGGACAAUUAACUUGUCUACAAAGACUAAGCAUAUUCAUUGUGGGCCAAGAUGAGGGUUACCAAAUUAGCGAGCUGAAGGAAUUAAAUCUUGGGGGAGAGUUGAGCAUAAAGGAGCUUGAAAACGUAAGAAAUUCAGAAGAUGCAAAAAGAGCCAAUUUGAAGAGCAAACUUGAUCUUAUUUCUUUGAAUUUAUGUUGGAGCGAUAGCAACAAAGAAAGCAUACCAAAGAAUGUUGAAGAAAUUCUUGAGAAUCUUUGACCUAAUUCGAAUCUGAAGAAGUUGAGCAUAAGUUUCUACCAAGGUUCAAGGUUUCCAAAUUGGAUGACAGGUUUGGUUCUUAAAAAUGUGGUUGAGAUCUCUCUAGAAUCUUGUAGAUGUGAACGUCUUCCGCCUCUUGGGAAACUAACCUCCCUAAAAAUUCUCAAGAUCAGUUCCAUGGAUUCUCUCAAGUACUUUAAUCAUGAGAGUUAUCGAGAUGGGGAAGAUUCAUUUCCUGCAUUGGAGAUUCUCAGCUUCAAUGUAAUGCCAAGUUUGGAGAAAUGGACAAUUGUGGAUAGAGAAGAAAUUUUUCCUUGCCUACGAAAUUUACAUAUAGAGGCAUGCCCCAAGUUGACUGAAUUUCCUUUUCUUCGAACACUCGAGAUAUUAACAAUUUGGGAAGGAAGCAAUGAAAGGUUAAUUAGGUUAGUGAUAAAUGUCACUUCACUUUCCGAUCUUGAGAUACUUGGCUCUGAGUUGAAGAUUCUUCCAGAUAAAUUGUUGCAGAGUCACAAGGACUUGGUGUCAUUACGGCUAAUUUCUCUGUACAAUCUCAAGACUCUGCCAAAUCAGCUGGGUUGUCUAUCUUCUCUAAAGCUGUUAGACCUUGGUUAUUGUCUUCAACUUGAAAAUUUGUCAGGACUCGAAAACCUAAACCAUUUGGAGACACUGUAUAUAAGUGAAUGUGAUAGUCUUACUUCUCUUCCAGUGCAAGGAUUGCAAGGCUUGACUUCACUUAGAUCCUUAAGUAUUCAAAAUUGUAAGAAACUAAUGUAUUUAUCUGACGGAAUGGGAUAUCUGACUGCACUCCGGGACUUGCUUAUCAAUGGAUGUCCAGAGAUACAAGAUUUUCCGACGGAUAUGCAACAUUUGAAUGCUCUUCGAGACUUGGAGAUAUGGAAUUGUCAAGGACUACUUUAUCUACCAAACUGGCUAGGCAGCCUCCGGUCAUUAUCAUGCUUGGAGAUUGAGAAUUGCCAUAAUCUAAAGUGUUUGCCAUGUGAGCUGCAGGGUCUAAAGACUCUUAAAAGGAUCAAAAUUAAAGGAUGUCCACUUUUGGAGCACCGGUGCAAGAAAGAGACUGGUGAAGAUUGGCUGAAGAUAGUUCACAUUCCCAUUAUUCAGAUCAAUGGUGAACUAGUACAGUCCUUGGAUUGUUAAUGCGCUAUUUUGAAGCAAAGGUUGUAUAAUUAGAGCUUUUUACCUCUGCUGGAUUACUAAAAUAUUGGAAUGACUAUUAUAUGUAGUACUCGAGUUUCAAAUGAGCUAGGCUCUGGGAACCCAAAAACGGCUUGAGUGGCUGUACAUGCUGUAGUCCUUCUUUUAGUCACUGAGACAUUCGUAUUGAGCACAAGUCUCUUCUGCAGCCAGUCUAUUGUGGGACAUGCUUACAGCAAUGAGAAGUAUUGCAAAGGAGAGCAGGUGGCACUGUGUAAGGGCUUGUGUCAAUCUUGAAGCAUUUUAUAUGAAUGGAAUACCGGUAGCUGUUAUUCUGAGUUUUGUUGUCCAUUUGAUAGCAAAAGGCUAGGCCUGUCAACGGAUCGGGUAUAACCCGAAUUCGAUCCGAUUAACCCGAUCUAUUUACACAAAUCCGAAUCCGAAUAUUUGUUUAAUCCGUAUCCGCAUAGCCCAAUUUAAAACGGGUCGGAUUUGAAUAAAUCCAAUCCAGUCCAUUUGUUUGCCCAAUCCGAUUACAUUUAAUUCUCAGAAACCAAAUCAGAUCUCUUAUCGUCUCUUCAUCAUUUCUCAUCAAAGAAUACCUAGAUCUCUCUCAUAAUCAAAUCUCUCUCUCAUCGUUUCUUCCUGCUCCGAUUGAUGCCGAUGAACUUAGCCAAAUCGAGCUCUAUGCUGUUUCUGAUCUAGGUGUUCUUCGGUGAGCUCUCUAGUCAGUAUCAAAUCUAUCUGUCAUCGUCUUCUUCUCCGACUUCUCUGAUCUAGUGCAUAUUUGAGUUUUUGAGCCAAAGAUGUUUUCGGAUUAUAGCGAACCCAUUACUGCUGAUGAUGCCAAGUUGGAUGACGAUGUAUCUCAAGGACCCACAAAGAGGAUUCGAAAACUAACUUCAAAGGUAUGGGAUGACUUUGUCAAAUUUAAAGGACCUAAUGAAAAUGACAUAGCUAGAUGUAAGCAUUGCAAUAGGGAAUUUGUUGGAGAGAGUGGGAAAGGGGCUAGUCAUUUAAAAAAUCAUUUGUCGAAGACAUGUCUAAGUACUUAAAGGGCCAA